rnacentral:rRNA from 1 species
AUUGAACGCUGGCGGCAUGCCUUACACAUGCAAGUCGAACGGUAACAGGUCUUCGGAUGCUGACGAGUGGCGCACGGGUGAGUAAUACAUCGGAACGUGCCCGAACGUGGGGGAUAACGAAGCGAAAGCUUUGCUAAUACCGCAUACGAUCUACGGAUGAAAGCAGGGGACUGCAAGGCCUUGCGCGAACGGAGCGGCCGAUGGCAGAUUAGGUAGUUGGUGGGAUAAAAGCUUACCAAGCCGACGAUCGGUAGCUGGUCUGAGAGGACGACCAGCCACACUGGGACUGAGACACGGCCCAGACUCCUACGGGAGGCAGCAGUGGGGAAUUUUGGACAAUGGGCGAAAGCCUGAUCCAGCCAUGCCGCGUGCAGGAUGAAGGCCUUCGGGUUGUAAACUGCUUUUGUACGGAACGAAAAGACUCUGGUUAAUACCUGGGGUCCAUGACGGUACCGUAAGAAUAAGCACCGGCUAACUACGUG